CCUGCCUCACAAAGGAUGGGCUCCCAGUGCCCCCCAGGCUGCCUCGGUGCCGUGCCCCACCUCGACCAGGGACAAGCUCUUACCUAAUGCACUCUGGCUUCAUCAGAUUAGACACCUCUCGUCCCGGUGUUGUCGUGUUUUCAAAUGGCUUCAAUCAGCACCUCCCAGGCUCUGGUUAUUUUCGGAUACAAUAAAGCUAAACCUCAUCCAGGCUGACAUCGUCCGUGGUUACACACGGCUCAGGAGGAAGAGCUCAGCAACAGCAACCGGGUUUCUAAUGAUCUUGUCAUCGAGAACAGCACAGAGAGAUAAAUGAAAGAGUGAGGGAAUAGCCAAGAUCAAAACUCA